GCUAUGUAAAAGCUAAUAAUGAUAAUUGCCCUGCCCUAUAAAACAGAUGUAGAAUAUAUAAAGAUGCAGCUUGAUUGACAUGCAUUAGUGCCCUAUGAUGGAGGGUUAACGUAUGUCUCCAAUAAUAGACCAAGUACCAUGUGGCAUCGUGGGAGCCAGAUAAAUGUCUUGGCACUCAUUGUGUAAUUUGGCUUGAGUUCUUGUGCAAGCAGUCAUUCACUGUGCUCCUGAACAAC